rnacentral:rRNA from 1 species
AUAGCCCGGUGCAAGCGGGGUACCAGCCACUUUGGCAAAUCCGGGUGGAAAUGGGAAGCCGUGAUGCGGAGCGAAAUAAAGUAGCGAAGUCCGUGAGCCAUGCGUCAAGAAAAGCCGCUAUUGUUUAUACCGUACCCGUACCGUAAACCGACACAGGUGGAUGAGGAGAGAAUCCUAAGGCCGGCGGAAGAAGCAUUGUCAAGGAACUCGGCAAAAUGGCCCCGUAACUUAGGGAUAAGGGGUGCCUGGGAAACCAGGCCGCAGAGAAUAGGCUCAAGCAACUGUUUAGCAAAAACACAGGUCUAUGCGAAACCGAAAGGUGAGGUAUAUGGGCUGACGCCUGCCCGGUGCUGGAAGGUUAAGAGGAGAGGUUAGCGCAAGCGAAGCUUUGAAUUUAAGCCCCAGUAAACGGCGGCCGUAACAAUAACGGUCCUAAGGUAGCGAAAUUCCUUGUCGGGUAAGUUCCGACCCGCACGAAAGGCGUAAUGAUUUGAGCGCUGUCUCGACAAUGCAUCCGGUGAAAUUGAAGUACCAGUGAAGAUGCUGGUUACCUGCGCCAGGACGGAAAGACCCCAUGGAGCUUUACUCCAGUCUGGUACUGGGACUCGGUAUUGCAUGUACAGGAUAGGUGGGAGGCUAGGAGAUGGUAACGCCAGUUGCCAUGGAGCCGCUGUUGGGAUACCACCCUUGCAGUAUUGGGUUUCUAACCAGCCGCCGUGACCCGGCGGUGGGACAAUGCCAGACGGGGAGUUUGACUGGGGCGGUCGCCUCCGAAAGGGUAUCGGAGGCGCCCAAAGGUUCCCUCAGAAUGGACGGAAACCAUUCGAAGAGUGCAAAGGCAGAAGGGAGCUUGACUGCGACACCGACGGGUGGAGCAGGUACGAAAGUAGGGCUUAGUGAUCCGGUGGUAUUAAGUGGGAAUGCCAUCGCUCAACGGAUAAAAGCUACCCUGGGAUAACAGGCUUAUCACUCCCAAGAGUUCACAUCGACGGAGUGGUUUGGCACCUCGAUGUCGGCUCAUCGCAUCCUGGGGCUGUAGUAGGUCCCAAGGGUUGGGCUGUUCGCCCAUUAAAGCGGUACGCGAGCUGGGUUCAGAACGUCGUGAGACAGUUCGGUCCCUAUCCGGCGUGGGCGUAGGAUAUCUGAGAGGAGCUGUCCUUAGUACGAGAGGACCGGGAUGGACGGGCCGCUGGUGCAUCGGUUAGACUGCCAAGUCUACGGCCGAGUAGCCAAGCCCGGAAGGGAUAAACGCUGAAGGCAUCUAAGCGUGAAGCCCCCCUUAAGAUGAGAUAUCCCAUUCGAAAGAAGUAAACCCCCUUGAAGACGACGAGGUAGAUAGGGCAGAGGUGGAAGUGCAGCAAUGCAUGGAGCUGACUGUUACUAAUCGGGUGAGGGCUUGACC